rnacentral:tRNA from 2 species
GGGGGUAUAGCUCAGUUGGGAGAGCGCGACGCUGGCAGCGUUGAGGCCAGGGGUUCGAGUCCCCUUACCUCCACCA